rnacentral:rRNA from 1 species
CUACGUGCCAGCAGCCGCGGUAAUACGGAGGAUGCGAGCGUUAUCCGGAUUUAUUGGGUUUAAAGGGUGCGUAGGCGGCCUGUUAAGUCAGCGGUGAAAUCUAGGAGCUUAACUCCUAAAUUGCCAUUGAUACUGGCGGGCUUGAGUGUAGAUGAGGUAGGCGGAAUGCGUGGUGUAGCGGUGGAAUGCAUAGAUAUCACGCAGAACUCCGAUUGCGAAGGCAGCUGACGGGAGCGCAACUGACGCUUAAGCUCGAAGGUGCGGGUAUCAAACAGGAUUAGAUACCCUGGUAGUCCGCACAGUAAACGAUGGAUGCCCGCUGUUGGUACCUGGUAUCAGCGGCUAAGCGAAAGCAUUAAGCAUCCCACCUGGGGAGUACGCCGGCAACGGUGAAACUCAAAGGAAUUGACGGGGGCCCGCACAAGCGGAGGAACAUGUGGUUUAAUUCGAUGAUACGCGAGGAACCUUACCCGGGCUUGAA